rnacentral:piRNA from 1 species
UCCCACAGCACCCAGGAACCUUAAGAGCUGC